rnacentral:rRNA from 1 species
GACAGAGGUGCCGAGCGUUAGGCGGAAUCACUGGGCUUAAAGCGUGUGUAGGCGGGUCGUUAAGUGCCUUGUGAAAUCCCAUAGCUCACCCAUGGAACUGCUUGGCAUACUGGCGAUCUUGAGCCACUUAGGGGCAACCGGAACAAACGGUGGAGCGGUGAAAUGCGUAGAUAUCAAGUGGAACACCAGUGGCGAAGGCGAGUCUCUGGACAUUUCCUGACGCUGAGGCACGAAAGCUAGGGGAGCAAACGGG